rnacentral:lncRNA from 1 species
CAAAGAAAGGAAAGAACAUGGCAUGCCAAAAAGGGCUGUGGCUAUGUGCAGCUCACUCACUGCAUGAACUGUGCCUGAGGCAUGCCCAAGGACAAGGCUAUUAAGAAGUUUCUCACUCAUUCAAAACAUAGUAAAGGCUGCAGCUGUCAAGGACAUUUCUGAAGUAAAUUUCUUUGAUGCCUAUGUGCUUCCUAAGCUGUAGGUAAAGCUACGUUACUACAUGAAUUGUGCCAUUCAUAGCAAGGUAGUCAGUAAUCAAUCUCCCCGAGCCCAAAAGGUGAUAA